rnacentral:rRNA from 1 species
CUAUAACGGUCCUAAGGUAGCGAAAUUCCUUGUCGGGUAAGUUCCGACCUGCACGAAUGGCGUAAUGAUGGCCAGGCUGUCUCCACCCGAGACUCAGUGAAAUUGAACUCGCUGUGAAGAUGCAGUGUACCCGCGGCAAGACGGAAAGACCCCGUGAACCUUUACUAUAGCUUGACACUGAACAUUGAGCCUUGAUGUGUAGGAUAGGUGGGAGGCUUUGAAGCGUGGACGCCAGUCUGCGUGGAGCCAACCUUGAAAUACCACCCUUUAAUGUUUGAUGUUCUAACGUUGGCCCCUGACCGGGGUUGCGGACAGUGUCUGGUGGGUAGUUUGACUGGGGCGGUCUCCUCCCAAAGCGUAACGGAGGAGCACGAAGGUUAGCUAAUCCUGGUCGGACAUCAGGAGGUUAGUGCAAUGGCAUAAGCUAGCUUGACUGCGAGCGUGACGGCGCGAGCAGGUGCGAAAGCAGGUCAUAGUGAUCCGGUGGUUCUGAAUGGAAGGGCCAUCGCUCAACGGAUAAAAGGUACUCCGGGGAUAACAGGCUGAUACCGCCCAAGAGUUCAUAUCGACGGCGGUGUUUGGCACCUCGAUGUCGGCUCAUCACAUCCUGGGGCUGAAGUAGGUCCCAAGGGUAUGGCUGUUCGCCAUUUAAAGUGGUACGCGAGCUGGGUUUAGAACGUCGUGAGACAGUUCGGUCCCUAUCUGCCGUGGGCGCUGGAGAAUUGAGGGGGGCUGCUCCUAGUACGAGAGGACCGGAGUGGACGCAUCACUGGUGUUCGGGUUGUCAUGCCAAUGGCACUGCCCGGUAGCUAAAUGCGGAAGAGAUAAGUGCUGAAAGCAUCUAAGCACGAAACUUGCCCCGAGAUGAGUUCUCCCUGAGACUUUAAGUCUCCUGAAGGAACGUUAAAGACGAUGACGUUGAUAGGCCGGGUGUGUAAGCGCAGCGAUGCGUUGAGCUAACCGGUACUAAUGAACCGUGAGGCUUAACCUU